AUUGAACGCUGGCGGCAUGCUUUACACAUGCAAGUCGAACGGUAACAGGGAGCUUGCUCCGCUGACGAGUGGCGAACGGGUGAGUAAUAUAUCGGAACGUACCCAAGAGUGGGGGAUAACGUAGCGAAAGUUACGCUAAUACCGCAUACGAUCUAUGGAUGAAAGCAGGGGACCUUCGGGCCUUGUGCUCCUGGAGCGGCCGAUAUCUGAUUAGCUAGUUGGUGAGGUAAAGGCUCACCAAGGCGACGAUCAGUAGCUGGUCUGAGAGGACGACCAGCCACACUGGAACUGAGACACGGUCCAGACUCCUACGGGAGGCAGCAGUGGGGAAUUUUGGACAAUGGGCGCAAGCCUGAUCCAGCAAUGCCGCGUGAGUGAAGAAGGCCUUCGGGUUGUAAAGCUCUUUUGUCAGGGAAGAAACGGGAGUGGCUAAUAUCCAAUCCUAAUGACGGUACCUGAAGAAUAAGCACCGGCUAACUACGUGCCAGCAGCCGCCGCCGUAA
rnacentral:rRNA from 1 species